UACGAAGGGGGCUAGCGUUGCUCGGAAUCACUGGGCGUAAAGGCGCGUAGGCGGCCAUUCAAGUCGGAGGUGAAAGCCCAGGGCUCAACCCUGGAAUUGCCUUCGAUACUGUUUGGCUAGAGUCCGGAAGAGGAGAGUGGAAAUUCCUGGUGUAGCGGUGAAAUGCGCAGAUAUCAGGAAGAACACCCGUGGCGAAGGCGGCUCUCUGGGACGGUGCUGACGCUGAGACGCGAAAGCGUGGGGAGCGAACAGG
rnacentral:rRNA from 1 species